rnacentral:rRNA from 1 species
UUCAAAUGCGGAGGAAAAGAAACCAACAGGGAUUGCCUUAGUAACGGCGAGUGAAGCGGCAAAAGCUCAAAUUUGAAAUCUGGCACCUUCGGUGUCCGAGUUGUAAUUUGAAGAAGGUAACUUUGGAGUUGGCUCUUGUCUAUGUUCCUUGGAACAGGACGUCACAGAGGGUGAGAAUCCCGUGCGAUGAGAUGCCCAAUUCUAUGUAAAGUGCUUUCGAAGAGUCGAGUUGUUUGGGAAUGCAGCUCUAAGUGGGUGGUAAAUUCCAUCUAAAGCUAAAUAUUGGCGAGAGACCGAUAGCGAACAAGUACAGUGAUGGAAAGAUGAAAAGAACUUUGAAAAGAGAGUGAAAAAGUACGUGAAAUUGUUGAAAGGGAAGGGCUUGAGAUCAGACUUGGUAUUUUGCGAUCCUUUCCUUCUUGGUUGGGUUCCUCGCAGCUUACUGGGCCAGCAUCGGUUUGGAUGGUAGGAUAAUGACUAAGGAAUGUGGCUCUACUUCGGUGGAGUGUUAUAGCCUUGGUUGAUACUGCCUGUCUAGACCGAGGACUGCGUCUUUGACUAGGAGUGCA